ACUGAGUGGUUAUCCAAUGAUAGCCGUUCCAAAAGUCGCAGUUGGUCGACCACGAAGUGUUCGAUUCUCAGCAAGAAAUUGAAAGAGGAGAGAAUGGUGGAAUCUUAGUUACAGAUAAAAUUAGUGGAUUACUGUUUGAACUGCCGCUUUCGCCGAAG